rnacentral:rRNA from 1 species
UACAGAGGGUGCAAGCGUUAAUCGGAAUUACUGGGCGUAAAGCGCACGUAGGCGGUUUUUUAAGUCAGAUGUGAAAGCCCCGGGCUCAACCUGGGAAUUGCAUUUGAAACUGGGAAACUAGAGUGUGUGAGAGGGGGGUAGAAUUCCAAGUGUAGAGGUGAAAUGCGUAGAGAUUUGGAGGAAUACCAGUGGCGAAGGCGGCCCCCUGGCACAACACUGACGCUCAGGUGCGAAAGCGUGGGGAGCAAACAGG